UACGGAGGGAGCUAGCGUUGUUCGGAAUUACUGGGCGUAAAGCGCGCGUAGGCGGCUUUGUAAGUUAGAGGUGAAAGCCCGGGGCUCAACUCCGGAACUGCCUUUAAGACUGCAUCGCUUGAAUCCGGGAGAGGUGAGUGGAAUUCCGAGUGUAGAGGUGAAAUUCGUAGAUAUUCGGAAGAACACCAGUGGCGAAGGCGGCUCACUGGACCGGUAUUGACGCUGAGGUGCGACAGCGUGGGGAGCAAACAGG
rnacentral:rRNA from 1 species